rnacentral:rRNA from 1 species
UACGUAGGGGGCUAGCGUUGUCCGGAAUCAUUGGGCGUAAAGAGCGUGUAGGCGGUCCGGUAAGUCCGCUGUGAAAGUCGGGGGCUCAACCCUCGAAUGCCGGUGGAUACUGUCGGGCUAGAGUGCGGAAGAGGCGAGUGGAAUUCCCGGUGUAGCGGUGAAAUGCGCAGAUAUCGGGAGGAACACCAAUGGCGAAGGCAGCUCGCUGGGACGGUACUGACGCUGAGGCGCGAAAGCGCGGGGAGCGAACGGG